UCAAGCUACAAAGAGCACAAGGGGAAUGCCUUGGCACCAGGAGCCGAAGAAGGACGCAGCUAACUGCGAAAAGCCACGGGGAGCCGUAAGCAGGCGCUAUAUCCGUGGGUAUCCGAAUGGAGCAAUCCGGCUGGAGUCAUGUCCAGUCAUCCUAUACUGAAUCCAUAGGUAUAGGAGGGGAACCGCCUGAACUGAAACAUCUAAGUAGGGCGAGGAAAAGAAAUCAACCGAGAUUCCGCUAGUAGUGGCGAGCGAACGCGGAAGAGGCCAAACCGGAGGUAGUAAUACCACCGGGGUUUGGACAGCAUAAAGUACGCAAGCGCUUAGGAGAAAGGUAUGGGAAGGCCUGCCAAAGAAGGUGAGAGCCCUGUAUCCGAAAAGCGUAAGCGGCUGGCUGUAUCCAGAGUACCGCGGGACACGUGAAACCCCGUGGGAAGAUGGGGGGACCAUCCUCCAAGCCUAAAUACUACCUGGUGACCGAUAGAGAACAGUACUGUGAAGGAAAGGUGAAAAGCACCCCGGGAGGGGAGUGAAAAAGAACCUGAAACCUUGUGCUUACAAGCACCGAGAGCCCGUCUAAGGGUGAUCGGGUACCUUUUGUAGAAUGGUCCGGCGAGUGAAUGUAUCUGGCAAGGUUAAGCACUUCAGGUGCGCAGCCGUAGCGAAAGCGAGUCUUAACUGGGCGCAUAAAGUCAGAUGUAUUCGACCCGAAACCGGGUGACCUACCCAUGUCCAGGUUGAAGUGGAGGUAAAACUCCAUGGAGGACCGAACCGACUCCCGUUGAAAUGGUAGCGGAUGAGGUGUGGGUAGCGGAGAAAUUCCAAUCGAACCCGGAGAUAGCUGGUUCUCUCCGAAAUAGCUUUAGGGCUAGCCUCGAAAUAGAUUACCGGAGGUAAAGCACUGAAUAGGCUAGGGGCCGAGAGGUUACUGAACCUUAUCAAACUAAGAAUGCCGGAUAAUCGUUUUUCGGGAGUCAGACAGUGGGAGAUAAGUUUCAUUGUCGAAAGGGAAACAGCCCAGACCCACAGCUAAGGUCCCCAAGUAUCAUUAAGUGGAAAAGGAUGUGGGGUUGCCCAGACAACCAGGAUGUUGGCUCAGAAGCAGCCAUACAUUAAAAGAGUGCGUAAUAGCUCACUGGUCGAGUGACCCUGCGCCGAAAAUUUAACGGGGCUAAAUGAUACACCGAAGCUUGGGAUGACGCAAGUCAUGGUAGGAGAGCGUUCUGUAAGGGGAGAAGUCGUAGCGAAAGCGGCGGUGGACUUUACAGAAGUGAGAAUGCCGGAAUGAGUAGCGAGAAAUAUGUGAGAAUCAUAUUGGCCGAAAGUCUAAGGUUUUUGGAGGAAGGUUCGUCCGCUCCAAGUAAGUCGGGAGCUAAGGCGAGGCCGAAAGGCGUAGUCGAUGCACAUACGGUUGAUAUUCCGUAACCGCUGAAAGAUUUAAACAAAGGGACACCUUGAAAGGGCAUAACCCCGGGGUUGGUACACCGGGGCGUAAGGGACCGAAAUUUAAGUAGGGAAGUAUGCAUGGACGAGGGCGAGAAAAGCUUUGCGAAUAUCUGAGGCGCCCGUACCGCAAACCGACACAGGUGGACAGGAAGAGAAUUCUAAGGCCAACGGGAGAAAGGUAGUUAAGGAACUCGGCAAAUUGACCCCGUAACUUAGGGAAAAGGGGUGCUCACUAAGGUGAGCCGCAGAGAAUAGGCCCAGGCGACUGUUUAGCAAAAACACAGGUCUCUGCCAAAUCGAAAGAUGAAGUAUAGGGGCUGACACCUGCCCGGUGCCGGAAGGUUAAGAGGAGGAGUGCAAGCUCUGAAUUGAAGCCCCGGUAAACGGCGGCCGUAACUAUAACGGUCCUAAGGUAGCGAAAUUCCUUGUCGGGU
rnacentral:rRNA from 1 species